AAUAUUCCAUCUUUUGUGCAUACCAUAUUUUAUCCAUUCAUCAAUUGAUGGACACUUGGGUUGUUUCCAUCCUUGGGCAUUCGUGAAUAAUUCAGUUCUGAACAUUGGUGUGCAAGUAUCUGUUCGUGUCCCUACUUUGAGAUCUUCUGGAUGUAUACUGAGUAGUGGGAUUGCUGGAUCGUAAGGAAACUCUCUACUUAGCUUUCUGAGGACCCACCAAAACAUCUUCCACAGGCCAGGUUUUUGAUUUCCAACUGACACCAGAGGACAUGAAGGUUUUAGAUGGACUAGACCAAAAUUUUCACUAUGUUAAUUAUGAUUUGAGAGAGAACAGUGAAGAAUAAAAUUGGGAUCUAAUGCAAAAAAGAACAGGAGAUGGAGAAGAAACCAGUAAAUCUUACCAUCAAGUAAUAUUUUGGUCAUAAUAAUUUUUCCAUCACUUUGUAUUACGUAUUGUGAUUACUGUAUAUAGAUUGCCUUCAUGGUAUAGUAAUCUUUUGGGAUAUGUAGCCAUUUCUUUUUCAUUUCAUUUUAUUAAUUUGUGAAUCUUACGCAUGUUGCAUGUGGUGGUCACUUAGUAAAUAAAAUUAAUGAAUUAACAAAAUGAAGGUGAAAUAGCUAUCAACAAGUUGUGUCAUCUUAAAAUAGUUAAUAUUGCUGAGUGUAGAGUUAGACUUCUUGCUCAAAACAGGGCAGAAGGAGUUUCUGCUUUCAGUGAGAAUUCAAAAUUUACAAAACAGGAUAUCUCUUUAUUUUCAGAUGUAGCUAAGGGAGGAGAAUAUUUGAAUACCUGUAGUAGUCUGAUGAUGUAUAUUAAAUUCUGUGCAAAGGAAUAUAAUUUGAUUACCUAAUUAUUUUUAAGCAGGAAGUUUAAUGCAGCAUUCUGUUUAUGACGUUACAAAGGUAGGUUUUAUAAAUAGCCAGAAAAUAAAAUUUAAAAAUUUUACCCUAUUGUCAGCUUCAGAGAAACCAUGUUGAUAUUGCCCUAGAAAUAUAGUCAUUGAAUCCACCUUAUCCUUUGUUCUUUCUCAUUUUAGUGCCAUUGACCACCCUGAGUAUCCAUUUUCUGAAGAAUAUUAGCAGGGAGCCCUUCGCCAUGCCUUCUACCAGGAGCCCCUGUGUGUGCAGAGUGAUGCUGGAAACGUCUCAGAUGCUGGUGAUUACAGACAUCACCUCUGGUUAAAUCCGUGCUGCUUAGUAACUCACACUCAACUAGAGUCAAAUCUAUAGGAAAACAUUAAAUUCUUGUGACUUUGCCAAAAAAUAAAAAUUUAAUUUUACCCAAA